UUCAUCUGCAUUAUGAACACUGGGAUGCAGAGAAGUGUUCUGAGUACAAGUCUGUAGUGUGCGAGAUGCCAGCUUUAAUACAGUAAAAUGGACAGAAGAUGGGACGAAGUCUAUGGACAUGACAUUUUGUUUUAUUUAGGUCGUUAUAGUGCAUACUGUUAACUGGUUAAUCAAUGAAUAAUGAUAUUGUUGAUAAGUGGGAUUUUGUUUACUUUUGUUGCUUAAACUGUUCAGUUAAUGAGAGAUAAUCUUGCUUGUCAAAGAGUGAUUGUUCCAUUCGAUGUUCAUAUGUAUUUUGUUCUUUAAUUCGUUAUUAUACAUUUUCUUUAUACUUUAAAUUGUUUAGUCAAUGAAUAAUGAUAUUAUGUUUACGACAAUGUUAGUGUAAAUAGAGGUAGUUAUUUAAAUUUGUUUUGUCAUCUUGUAUCACGUGGGUUAUAAUAAUAAAAUUGAUGGGACAACAAA